rnacentral:misc_RNA from 1 species
CUUAGGAUUGGAAAGGUGAAUGUGAUUGGGGAUGUUAUUCUAUGUCUGGGAAAAUUAUGUGUUAGCCUUUUGAGUGCUGUUUUUGCUUUCCUCAUGUUGGAUACCCACAAAUAUAGAUCUGCUCAUAACAAGAUAACCUCCCCGCUGUUUCCCGUAUUGGUUUGCUGGGCUCUAGGUUAUAUUGUUGCAACUCUUUUCUUUGCAGUGGUGGAGAUGUCAAUUGAUACUAUCAUUCUUUCAUUCUGCCAAGAUUCCGACGAGCACCAAGGGACUGCACAGUAUGCUCCUCCUCUUCUUAUUGAGACACUCAAUGAUCAAAAUGAGAUGCAGAGACU